rnacentral:rRNA from 1 species
AUGGCUCAGGACGAACGCUGGCGGCGUGCCUAAUACAUGCAAGUCGAACGGUCUUUCUAUGGAAGCUUGCUUCCACUGAGAAGAUGGUGGCGAACGGGUGAGUAACACGUGGGUAACCUGCCCAUAAGAGGGGGAUAACAUCCGGAAACGGGUGCUAAUACCGCAUAGUUUUCUUGAUCGCAUGAUCGGGAAAGGAAAGACGGCCUUUGUGCUGUCGCUUAUGGAUGGACCCGCGGCGUAUUAGUUAGUUGGUGAGGUAACGGCUCACCAAGACGAUGAUACGUAGCCGACCUGAGAGGGUGAUCGGCCACAUUGGGACUGAGACACGGCCCAAACUCCUACGGGAGGCAGCAGUAGGGAAUCUUCCGCAAUGGACGAAAGUCUGACGGAGCAACGCCGCGUGAGUGAAGAAAGGUUUUCGGAUCGUAAAACUCUGUUGUCAGAGAAGAACAAGUUGGAGAGUAACUGCUCCAGCCUUGACGGUAUCUGACCAGAAAGCCACGGCUAACUACGUGCCAGCCGCUGC